rnacentral:rRNA from 1 species
ACGUAGGGUCCGAGCGUUGUCCGGAAUUAUUGGGCGUAAAGAGCUCGUAGGCGGCAUGUCGCGUCUGCUGUGAAAGACCGGGGCUUAACCCCGGUUUUGCAGUGGAUACGGGCAUGCUAGAGGUAGGUAGGGGAGACUGGAAUUCCUGGUGUAGCGGUGAAAUGCGCAGAUAUCAGGAGGAACACCGAUGGCGAAGGCAGGUCUCUGGGCAUUAACUGACGCUGAGGAGCAAAAGCAUGGGGAGCGAACAGGA